CCUGAACCUGCAACCUGAACCCUUUACCCUGAAAUCUGGGCAAACAAAAUUGGCAGUGACACUUUUGCUCAGCAAGCUCUGACACUUACCUUGCAGCCAUUGUUUGGUCAUGCUGGAAACAGGUUCAGCAAAGGAAACUUCUUGGCCAAGUAAGUUGUCAUUUCAGGCAAAGCGUGCAACCCUCCUCCUCCCCUUCCUCCUCCAGUCAUCAUCACCCACGGCACCCUGGGUAUUUCUUUUCUGGCUCCUUCGGGCUCCUUC